AGGGAGGGGACCGCCAGAGCCCGCGGGGAAGGAACGCUUCGUGGGUGCGGCCACUCCCGGAAGGGACCGGAGCCAGAUUUUAAAUGAUCUGCAGGGAACAUGCACUUCCUGAAGAAUGAAAGGACGACACGGAAGAUUAUUUUUGAAACGCUAGGACGAUGGCGCGGCCAGAGGCAGGGCGUGGACGUGCUUGGCUCAGCUGGCCGGCCUGUGCGGAGACCCCACUCUGGCGCUUUCUGGUGACGCAGACCAGGGCUCCUCCAGUGGGCACUGUUGACAUUGGGACCCGAGGGGUCCUGCCCCUGGGGACGCCGUCCUGUGCAAUGUCCGCUGCAGGCCACCGUCCCUGGCUGUCGCCCAUUACAUGCCAGGAAAGCCUGCAACCAGCCGAUGUGUCCAGACACCCGGAACGCAGGCUUGUAGGCCCACCUCACCGACACAGGUCACUGAGCCGGCUGUCACAGGGGCACCUGGGUGACUCAGUUCGUUGAGCGUCCAACUUCAG